rnacentral:lncRNA from 1 species
GAAGAUCUUGUAAAAAUCUUUUUAAACAGAUUCGUUAGAUUUUAAAAUAAAUAUAUUUAUAUUUAAAAUGAAAAGAUAUCAAAAGAUAUUAUGAUUAAAAUAUUUUAAGAAAUCUAUUUAUUAUUAGUCUGAAUUAAAAUGCAGUAUGAAUUUCUAUGAAUAGGUCCAUUAGGUCCAUUUUUUAAAAAAUCACACAUGAAUCAAGGUUGUGACUUCUGUUUUAAUAUAUAAGAUAUUAAACACAAAUAUAAAUUAAAAAAAUAACACAAAUAUAAAAAUUAAAUUACUCAAAAAAAUUAAAACAAAAAAUAUACCCGCCCUUCGAAAGGGCGGGUCAGAAUCUAGUUGUUCUUAAUUAAGGAACAUUUCAUCUAAUAAUAGGCAAUUUUCUUUUUCUUUAAAUCCUAAUAAUACUAAGAACAGUUUUAAGAAACGGUGAUAUUGAUGCUCUAAGAGCAAUCGCAUUGGUGAUUGUAAACUUGAGUUCACACGGUUACCGAAAAAGUAAAAUAUUAAAAUAAUACAAUAUGCAUGACUCCGUCUCGCCACGCUCCUUCCGCAUGAACCCGGAUCAUUACUGUUUAGCGGGCUCCACGCCACGUGGCGGUCUGCUAUUGGUUAGCUUAUUUUUUAUUUUUAAAUCAAAAGAAAAAUCAAAAAAUAAAUAAUAAAAAAAUCAAAUUGUGAAACCCAACCUGGGGUUCAUUAAUGCGCUUGCUCUAAGUGGCUGAUACACGUGUUAGGUACCUUAAAAUUUUGGGAUCUUCGCCAUAAUGAAUUGAGUUGUAUGGGCAUGGUCAUUG